CUUCGGAUCGUAAAGCUCUGUUGUUAGGGAAGAAUAAGUCAGGGAGUAACUGCCCUGGCCUUGACGGUACCUAACCAGAAAGCCACGGCUAACUACGUGCCAGCAGCCGCGGUAAUACGUAGGUGGCAAGCGUUGUCCGGAUUUAUUGGGCGUAAAGCGCGCGCAGGCGGUUCUUUAAGUCUGAUGUGAAAGCCCGCAGCUUAACUGCGGAGGGUCAUUGGAAACUGGAGAACUUGAGUGCAGAAGAGGAGAGUGGAAUUCCACGUGUAGCGGUGAAAUGCGUAGAGAUGUGGAGGAACACCAGUGGCGAAGGCGACUCUCUGGUCUGUAACUGACGCUGAGGCGCGAAAGCGUGGGGAGCGAACAGGAUUAGAUACCCUGGUAGUCCACGCCGUAAACGAUGAGUGCUAGGUGUUAGGGGGUUUCCGCCCCUUAGUGCUGAAGUUAACGCAUUAAGCACUCCGCCUGGGGAGUACGGCCGCAAGGCUGAAACUCAAAAGAAUUGACGGGGGCCCGCACAAGCGGUGGAGCAUGUGGUUUAAUUCGAAGCAACGCGAAGAACCUUACCAGGUCUUGACAUCCUCUGACCACCCUAGAGAUAGGGCUUUUCCUUCGGGGACAGAGUGACAGGUGGUGCAUGGUUGUCGUCAGCUCGUGUCGUGAGAUGUUGGGUUAAGUCCCGCAACGAGCGCAACCCUUGAG
rnacentral:rRNA from 1 species